UGAUGGCCUACCAAGGCGACGACGGGUAGCCGGCCUGAGAGGGCGACCGGCCACACUGGGACUGAGACACGGCCCAGACUCCUACGGGAGGCAGCAGUGGGGAAUAUUGCACAAUGGGCGAAAGCCUGAUGCAGCGGCGCCGCGUGAGGGAUGACGGCCUUCGGGUUGUAAACCUCUUUCGACAGGGACGAAGCGCAAGUGACGGUACCUGUAGAAGAAGCACCGGCUAACUACGUGCCAGCAGCCGCGGUAAUACGUAGGGUGCGAGCGUUGUCCGGAAUUAUUGGGCGUAAAGAGCUCGUAGGCGGUUUGUCGCGUCGACUGUGAAAACUGGGGGCUUAACUCUCAGCUUGCAGUCGAUACGGGCAGACUUGAGUUCGGUAGGGGAGACUGGAAUUCCUGGUGUAGCGGUGAAAUGCGCAGAUAUCAGGAGGAACACCGGUGGCGAAGGCGGGUCUCUGGGCCGAUACUGACGCUGAGGAGCGAAAGCGUGGGGAGCGAACAGGAUUAGAUACCCUGGUAGUCCACGCUGUAAACGUUGGGCGCUAGGUGUGGGGAGCAUUCACGCUUUCCGUGCCGUAGCUAACGCAUUAAGCG
rnacentral:rRNA from 1 species